GGCAAAACGAGGAUAAUUUUUUAAUGGCUGAAUUUGAUGUGGAAUUCCUUUAUCAUUUCAUGGUCUUCAAAUAUCCCUGAUUGCU